rnacentral:lncRNA from 1 species
UUUAUUACUCAAAUUAAAACCAAACAUCAAAACAAGCCAGAAGUCCAAAACCGGGCCCAGACAAAAGAAAACUAAGCCAGCCUAUCGUCUCGAGCAGUGUGUACCCGUCCUAUCCCCUCAUCUUUCAAUUCAAAACCAACGGUUUCAUUUCCCACAGAAAACUUUCCAUUUUCCAUCCCCGUUACAGACCAUCAUUUCUCUCAAAAACACAUUUCUAAGCUUUCUUUAUCCUAGAGACCGAAAAGCUUUUACCAUCUUCCUCCUCAAUCGGCCUGGAGUCCAUUCUUCUUCCAUUAUCCUCACAACGAAUCUUGGUACCUUCUCAUCCAGGUAAAACUCUUCACCAUUUCUCAAACUUUCAGUAGCUAUUACAUGAGCAAGUUGAUUAGCCGAGCGUCUUGCAUGUUUGAUUCGUCGAGACCGGAAACAGUUGAUAUUUCGUUUUAUAUUCCGGAUAUAAGCACUUAUUUCUUAUUUGUCUUGUGAAUCUGAGUUGGAUUUCUUUAUAACUGAUAAAGAGUCUCCUAUAAUCAUAUCUGUGAAACCCAAAUCUAACCUCAUUUGUACUGCCCAUAAACGGCAAGAGCUUCCGCUGCGAAAGCCGACCCAAUAUUUGCAUGUAUGACCGAUCUAGAGGCAACCACCUUUUCUAGGACGUUUUUUGGCACCAUCCCCGACCUCGACCUAGAAUGUGUCCAAUCAAAAUCUGCAUCGAAGUUUAUUUUAAUACAAACCCCCGAAGGAGGUUCUUGUUUCGCGCUAAUAACUCUCCUGGUAGGCCCUCGUUCUUCGAUGCCUUCUAGUUCUUUAAUGUAACUUUGAAUGAAAUUGGCUACCUCUCUACCCAAUUUUGCUGAGUUCUCAUGCACACGCUUAUUCCUUUCAAUCUACAAGGCCCAAAUGGCACAACAAAAAACCCUCCGUUGAAGAACAGAACUUACACUGAAUACCCAGGUAAGCCAUUCAAACGUUUCUUGAGUUGUAUUUGACAUUAUCCACGAGUACUCUAGUAAUUUCCAAACAUCCUUUAAAGCAAGGAAACUUCAGAAAACAUGAUUCGUCAUUUCCCCCGCUCUUGGGCACAUCGCAUUCGCCACUAGUCGCUUGUAAUACAUAUUAAAUAAAGUAGGGAUAAAAUUUUAAGAUAUUCGCCAUAUCGUAAUUUUAAUUUUAGAAGGAAGAUUUAGGCUUCAUAGCUUCCUAUAGAAUCCUUUAGAUGUGGUAUGUAUUUCAUUGAAAGUAGGAGUAGGAAUACCAUAUUGUAAUAGUUUGUAGGUGCUCCGAACGGAGAACUCUCAUGAUGGUUUGCAUCUCCACACCAUCACAUCCUCGUGUGUUUCUUUCGCCAACGGGAUUCGAAGUAUAUUGGCCGCAUGAACAUUCGGUAAUAACUCGCGCCGCCAUUCUCUAUUAGCAUUAUCAAUUAAAUCAACAACUGCCAAUAUGUUAUUAUCACGAACCAUACUGCUCAAUUUAUAAUCAACCGAACUAGGAAUCCAUGCAUGAUUAAAAAUAGAAAAUUUUUCUUCUGUUCCCACUCUCCAACACAACCUAUUUUGAAGAUACUUCUAUGUCGAUCAAAUACUCUUCCAAGUAUAUGAUGCCCCAUGCUUUAAACUUGCAUUUAAAAAUUUGAUUUGAGGAUAAUACUUUGCUUUUAAAACUUAGGCUAAUAAAGAAUCAGGAUGAUUAAUAAGUUUCCACCAUUGUUUUGUUAAAAAAGCCACAUUAAAUUUUUCGAAACUCCUAAAGCCCAUGCCCCCAUUCUCUUUCAGCUCACAAAGUUUCCCCCAUUCACACCAAUGCAAUUCUCGCCUCUCAUGAGCUUUUAGCCACUAAAAUCCAGCCACUAUGCUCUCCAAUUUCCCACACAAAGAUUUUGGAAAAAGUAAGCAAGCCAUUGCAUAAGUUGGUAUGGCUUGAAGCAUUGAUUUUAUGAAUAACUCCUUACCCCCUAGUGAAAGAAAUUUAGAGCGCCAACUAUCAAUCUUCUUCUUCAUUUGAUCCUUUAAACUAAGAGAAUUAUAGGAAAAAUAAGAGAGCAAAGCAAACAAAAAUGAAAGGAUAAUUUAGUUUUUUUUCUUAGAAUACAAUAGGUUUAUACAUGCCCUCUAUUAUGGUCUCAAUCACCAUAGAUUACAAAAACAUAAAUAAAAGAAUUAAGGCAUCCUGUAAAAUUUUUAAGGGUUAUUAGAGAAUAACUUCUUGGGGAUUGGGAGUUGUAUGAACAUCCAUUCAUUAAAGGAUUUACAACACUCUGCCUUAAAUGUCCAUCAACGACAAUAUGCCUUAUUAAAACAUUUUUUCAUGAAAAAAUUUGUAGGAUAAAAACUAAUGAAGGAAAAAGAGUAUAGAAUCUUCUAUUAUAAGUUGCCUCAUUAAAAACUUUUAUUAGGAAAACACAACGAAACAAAAUCUUGGUUAAAUAAAAAUAGUACACACCAUGUUUUAGAUUAUCGCUAAUGGCAACAUCACAUUAAUCUCCUAUUAUAAGGAACCUCAUUAAUAAUUUUUACUAGGAAAACUUAAAGGGAUAAAUUUUGGUUAAAGGAAAAGAGUAUAAUUUAUUUUAGACUCACUAAUGCCAACAUCACAUUACAUUUUUUAGCCGACUCAUUUCAAUCUUGUAUACUAGUAUUUCAAAUGUUGUAGUUGGAAAUGCCUUAGUAAAAAGAUUUGUCAAAUUAUCACUUGAACGAGUUUGUUAAAUUUCUAUAUCACAUUUCAGCUCAAGACUAUGAGUGAAGAAUAAUUUUGGUGAAAUAUGUUUCGUUUUGUCACUUUUCAUGUAACCACCAUUUAAUUGAGUUAUACAUGUUGCAUUAUCUCCAUGUAAGAUAGUUGACAUAUGUUCUUGUAGAGACAAAUCACAAAUCUUUUGAAUAUGUUGGGUCAACAACCUUAGUCAAACACACUCUCAACUUGCCUAGUGGGUUGCAAAUAUUUCUGCAUGAUUUGAAGAGGUAACAACUAAUGUCUAUAUUGUUGAACACCAUGAUAGAACAACACCUGUUGGAAAAAAGUUGGUUUAGAAAACAAUGUUUUUUAGCACAAUGGAAGUUUAAAUUUUUUCUUAAAAACUGAUCUCUUCUAAUAUUUAUAGUAAUAAACUUUAACUGAAAUUAUACAUGUGUUUUGUAUAAAGAUUGUCUUGGUUGUUUUCCGAUUUUCAACUAAUCAAUUUUCACUGAUAUCCUCGAAUCUCAAAUUGCUUUGAGUGUGGGCUCAAAGAAUCAAAUUAGUGCGCAUAAUGAAAAUUUUACUUAACUUUCAGUAGGGAAGUUGAUUCUCUUUAUAAACUGACAACUAUGAGUAUUCUUGCAAAAAAUAUAAUUUAUUCUUAAAAUAAAUUGCCAUUAUUUUGUGUUAGUAGGUUAACUCAUAGUUAUUAUUUAUAGAGAAUCGGUAUUCGAGUUCUGUUUGAAUAAAGUCUUAAUUAAAUAAUAAUAUUUUAAUAGAAAAUACAAUGUUCCAAUAGAACUAGAGCAUAAGAAGCGACGACAUCCCUAAUAAAUAUUAGAGUUUGUCACCCCUAUAAAGUAAUCAAACCCUAUUAAGCCUUUCAUGUAUUAGGUACAAUUAUAGGUGUUAUCUGAACUUUUAUCUAACACUUAUAAUUUAUCUAAUCCCAUAAUUAUUUUUUAUUACCCAAAAUAUUGAUUAAUUAAUUAAUUUAAUGUCCAAAAAAUUAAUUAAUUAAAUUAAAUUAACUAAAUUAUUUUCUCAAUCUAAUUCUAAUUUCGUUAAAGUUAUGACAACUUUAUCGCAUUGGAAUCCAUGCAGAAAUUAAGGUAAUUGUCUUAUUCAAUAAAUUAAUGAUGACUAAUUAAUUUAAUUCUUACUUCGAACUUCAAUUAUUUAAUUAGAAUAAAUUAAAUUAUAAUUUAAAGAAAUUAAAUUAGUUUCUAAGUCAUCUUUUGUACUUAGUGAAAAAACGUAUUCACUACGAAUAGUGAUACAUACAAUCUAUUUCUUUUACUUAUCAUUUUAAUCCAUUCCACAGUCUGUUGAUUCUACAUGCAAUUUGUUUCAGGUCAUCUCAAUAUAGUGAAGGGAUCGAAUGCACAUAUAUACAAAUAAUUUGUAAUUAAGUUUUGACUUUUCGCCA